UACGAAGGGUGCAAACGUUGCUCGGAAUUAUUGGGCGUAAAGCGCACGUAGGCGGCUUGGCAAGUCGGAUGUGAAAUCCCUCGGCUCAACCAAGGAAGUGCAUCCGAAACUGCUGAGCUUGAGUACUUAAGAGGAUCGCGGAAUUCCCGGUGUAGAGGUGAAAUUCGUAGAUAUCAGGAGGAACACCGGUGGCGAAGGCGGGUCUCUGGGCCGAUAUUGACGCUGAGGAGCGAAAGCGUGGGGAGCGAACAGG
rnacentral:rRNA from 1 species